UACGGCUGUACCAAAGAAAGGAAAUGCAGACCCAAGACGUGAACAAGUUCACUGAUCAAAACGACGCCAUUUCAAUCUCCUUCCCCUCGUCCUCCUCACCUCCUCUGCAGAACAAAAAUGGACAAACAAAUCCAAACAUUUCUAAACAAAGUCUCAUUCUUAGCCAUCACAAUAGCAACACUCACACUCUUUCUCCUCUUAAUUCAAACCCCACGAACCUGCUUCGACCCAAACACAAUCCUCAAACCCCACCAGAAAUUCCCCAAAUCAUCCUGCGAAGCUUCUCACAGACCCAUCACAUCUCCCACGAAACAAAACCGCCGCAUCUGGGCCACUAAGGCCUGGCGAAACGGCGUCGCUUCGUUGGCUUCCACUUUUCUUGAUCUGCGAAAUGUGCAUUAUUUCAAUAAUGAUUCUCAUGUUUUGUGUGUUUCUGCUGGAGCGGGGCAUUCUGUGGUGGCGUUUAAUGAGGUGGGUGUGAGUGAGGUUACGGCGGUGGAGAUUGUGGAGUCACCGCCGUUGGUUAGUAAGGCUGAUCCGCAUAACUUGCCGUUUUUCGAUGGGGUGUUUGAUUUGGGGUUUAGUGGGGCUUUUGAUCGGGCGUUGUUUCCCGGGAGGUAUGCGGAGGAGAUGGAACGGACGGUCAAGGUUGGAGGGGUUUGUGUUGUUGCGGUGGAGGAGUGUGGGAGUGAGGUGGUGAAGGAGGUUGGGAAGUUGUUUCGGAAGUCGGAGUUGGUUGGGGUUAAGAAUGUUACUCUGCUGGGGUCUAAAAUGACGCGGAUUGUAUUCAAGGUUACUGGUACUGGUUAGGGGUUCGUUUGUUUCGGAACUGUGAUUGUUUCUCAUCUCAAUGCUAGAGGCAAAAGGUCACUGCUGACUGCACUUGAACGUCUGAGGCCUCUGACUACUUACUAGUAGGUUCUCUACUUUUGUGUAUGGUGUUUUGAGACGCGUGCAUGCCAUUCCAUAGUCUCCCGGUGAUAUAAAUUAUGGUUGAAGGUCAGUGCUGUGUAACUUUGAGGAAAUAGAAUGCUGAUGCACGUCUGCUCCCUUGAGACUUGAGAGAUCGACUGGAAUAUUGUAUCUACAUAUUGUACAUUGCUUUAUCUACUCUUGUACAUUAUCGCAAUUGAUAUAUACACACUCAUCAUUGUAUAUGUAAUGAUAACUCCAAAAUCAUAGAAAUAAUAAACUCACAAAAUUACUAGCAA